rnacentral:rRNA from 1 species
CUAGUAAUCGCAGAUCAGCAUGCUGCGGUGAAUACGUUCCCGGGCCUUGUACACACCGCCCGUCACACCAUGGGAGUCGGUAACACCCGAAGCCUGUAGUCUAACCGCAAGGAGGACGCAGUCGAAGGUGGGAUUGAUGACUGGGGUGAAGUCGUAACAAGGUAUC